GCUUAUUUAUCUACUCUUUGACCCCCGCUUCCGGACUUGUUCGGGAGCGGUUUUUCUUUU
rnacentral:misc_RNA from 1 species